GUGCUCGUUUCGGCAGCACAUAUGCUAAAAUUGGAAUGAUACAGAGAAGAUUAGCAUGGCCCCUGUGCAGGGAUGAUACGCAGAUUCGUGAAGUGUUCCAUAUUUUU